GGGGAUAUAGCUUAGUGCUAGAGUACCUGCCUAGCAUGCUCAAGGGCUUGGGUUCAAUCCCCAGUAUUGCUA
rnacentral:tRNA from 1 species